ensembl:lncRNA KCNK15-AS1 KCNK15 and WISP2 antisense RNA 1
GCGGCCGCUUUCCGCCUCGGACUCGAGCGCGUCGAAGACAGCAGCGCCCACCAGCAGAUGCAGAGAACCCAAAGCCCUGCAGGAUGGCAAAGCUGCAACAUGGAAGUCACCCGGAUCACCACGUAAAGGAAAUCUCUCCAACCAGGAACAAACACCUGCCUUGCAAUAUUAGGUCCUUCCUAGGGCUUGGUGCAUGUGCAUAUCUCCUUCCGGAAUCCUGGUCAAUACUAAGGUGUCUGCCUCCUGCCCCGGUCCACAGCCAGGAGCCCCGGAGCCAACGGCCAGCCUGGAAGACUUACAGUUCUCCCUCUGAGGGUUGCUGUGGCUUUCCAUGUUGUGGUGACUAAGUCCCUGUGUUUCUGUGCAGUCCCUGCUUCCUGGGACCAGGGAAGAAUGGUCCCGUACCCGCUAUUCUGACCUCUGUGGCCACUGAUUAGUUGUUCCUGAAAGGAACAGUUUUAAGCCACUUCUAUCUCUGAGGCAAGAAGGAAGACGGGAGAAAUGAGGAGGUGUGAGGAAGAGAGUUGGAGGGAGACACGCUGGUCCCAGCCAUGUCCAUAGCAGAGCAAGGAGACCUUGACAAUGAGGAGUCAGUAAUACGGACGUGAUGGUGGAGUUCUGCAGCCAUCUUGGACCAUGAGGGUACCCUGAGGAUGGACUUCGUGUGCAGAAGAGGGCGAAGGAGAAAUAAAGGAACUCAGAUCCCUGAUGACACCCAGAGCUGCCAAAUGCACCCUACAUGUAGAUUUCAUUCAUGUGAUUAGAAACAUAAUAAUGUGUGUGUGUGUGUGUGUGUGUGUGUG